rnacentral:rRNA from 1 species
GACGAACGCUGGCGGCGUGCUUAAAACAUGCAAGUCGAACGGUGAAAGGGAGCUUGCUCGCUGGAUCAGUGGCGCACGGGUGAGUAACACGUGAGCAACCUGCCAUCUUGCGGGGGAUACCUUCCCGAAAGGGAAGUUAAUACCGCAUAGACCGACUCCAGGCGUCUGGAGACGGGGAAAGCCUUCGGGCACAAGAUGAGGGGCUCGCGUCCUAUCAGCUAGUUGGUGUAGUAACGGUGCACCAAGGCGACGACGGGUAGCCGGCCUGAGAGGGUGACCGGCCACACUGGGACUGAGACACGGUCCAGACUCCUACGGGGGGCAGCAGUUGGGAAUCUUGCGCAAUGGGGGAAACCCUGACGCAGCGACGCCGCGUGCGGGAUGACGGUCUUCGGAUUGUAAACCGCUUUUCUCGAGGACGAUAAUGACGGUACUCGAGGAUGAAGCCUCGGCUAACUCCGUGCCAGCCGCCGCCGUAAUAC